GAUUGGCUCCCUGCAGGUGGGACACUGGCUGGCUUUCUUCAACCAUAACUUCAUGCAGGACGAACAGAACACGUGGUGGUUGGCACAGAUGACGGGCUGCCUGACCUGCAGGAGCAAACCUGACUUGGUUAUUUAUAGGGCAUGUGAAGAGGAAAGGAGGGCAGGAGGAGAGGGGUCUUUCUGAAAACUGCAUCAGUGCAUUAUUGCCUCUGAAAUCUGAGAUCUUAUUGGAUCUGAAGGGCAGUAUGAGGCAGCAUCAACCCCUGUUUUAAGGGAUUGCUUUCAUUCAGGGAAGGAGAGGCGAAAAACCCUUCUAGCAGAGCCCAGUCCGGCUCAGCUCCUCUCCCGGUGUGCCCGUCCGCCUCGUCUCUGCAGAGGCCGGAUGACCGGUCCUCUCGGGCUGACACGCCGCCAGCCAGACCGAUGGCUGUCCUGCACCAACGCUGGUGGACCUUGAUGCAGGAAGGAGCAGCCUAGUGGCCUCUGACAUUUGCUGUGGAGAUGAGAGGAUCUUGUUCUGCAGCUGUGAUCAAACUACAGGGUCUUGACCUGCCAAUUAAGGGAAACAGUCAAGUUCCUUUCUUGCCUGGGCGGACAGUGAGCUUCGCCUCCAGCAUCGUUUCUGUCUGUCAUGAUGUCUCUCCAAAAACCACAAACUGAUCUGGUUCCUCCUAGUGCUCUGCUUGGGGAUGUCUAGAGAACCAUCAGCUUGGAUGAGAAGCACUCGUGGCUUGUUUUUUCGACAUUAGCCUGAUAGGAAAGGGGCCAUGAGAGAGGGGGGACCACAGGUUGGAUUCGAACCCAGGUCUGCCGCGUUGAGGACUAAGGCCUCCGUACAUGGGUGAUGCACGCUAACAACUGCCCCACCUGCAUAUCCAGUAAGAC